rnacentral:rRNA from 1 species
AGCGCAGGCGGGAGAACAAGUUGGAAGUGAAAUCCAUGGGCUCAACCCAUGAACUGCCUUCAAAACUGUUUUUCUUGAGUAGUGCAGAGGUAGGCGGAAUUCCCGGUGUAGCGGUGGAAUGCGUAGAUAUCGGGAGGAACACCAGUGGCGAAGGCGGCCUACUGGGCACCAACUGACGCUGAGGCUCGAAAGUGUGGGUAGCAAACA